rnacentral:lncRNA from 1 species
AGCAGAAGAGCCUAGUGAGAUAGGAGUUGCAUCUCUGCUCAUCCAGAUCUCUAGAGAAGGGAUCUACCCCUGGACUUUUUCCUGGACAAAAUAGCUCACUUGCUGGAACCUGCUGAAGAAGUAACCUAACUGAUGUGCUUGAAAGUGCAAAUAUUUCUUGCAUGAUACAUGCUAUAAAAAUUCAUUUCUUAUUCAGCUCGAGGGAAGAUGCUGAAAUUGCUGUGCAUCCAAUGAAAGCUAAGCUUUAGCUUCUUCAUGGAGUGGUGAUGGGCUUCUAAGAAGGAGUUUUCCAAAAAUGCAAAACUGGAAGCUGCAUGGGCUCUUAUAGGCUAACCUUAGAAGGCACUUGUCACUUCUACCUCAUUCUUUUGGACAAAGCAACUCACAGAGCCAACUCAGAAUCAGAUUCAAAAGGAGGAAGAACAAACUGUGGCUUUGAGAUGAUAAGUGACAUGCCCAAGACAACACCAUUCACUGAGAAUAAUUCUUCAGAGAAGCCAGCCUAUUCUUAAAAAAGUUGCUGAGGAGCAAUGCUGCAGGGCUCACAUAAGAGUAAUUGUGACACUGUCUUGUCUGAACAAAUGGGAGUUGCUGACCUGGGAAGGCAAACUCUUAAGACGAAGAAUUUCCAUACAUUUGUCAAAUGCCUUCAAGUUGAAAGUCUCAUCAGAAUCCUAAUGGAUGCAGAAAUAACACCAACUUUCAGAUUAAAUAACUACCUCAAACUCUAAGUUAUAGUUUUUGUUGCUGGAAAAUUAUCUGAUUCUCAUACCUCAGUGGUUUGGAAAAACCAAU